UGUAGAAGCGGGUAGUAAUGACCGGAUCUGUAAAUGUUACGGAUCCAUCAAUGGACAAAAGAUACGCUAGGGAUAACAGGCUUAUCCGGAAAGAGAGUUCAUAUCGACUUCCGGGUUUGGCACCUCGAUGUUGGAUCAUCUUGUCCUGUAGCUGCAGAAGGUUACGAGGGUUAGGCUGUUCGCCUAUUAAAAAGGUACGUGAUCUGAGUUCAGAACGUCGUGAGACAGUUCGGUUUCUAUCUACCUACAUCCGUUCAUAUCUGCUAAGGUUGGUUAGUACGAAAGGACCAUACCAAUCUAAACCUCUGGUUCAACUGUUGUUAUCAGCAUUGCAGUAAAGCUAAGUUUA
rnacentral:rRNA from 16 species